rnacentral:rRNA from 1 species
GCUAAACGCGAAGAACCUUACCUGGUCUUGACAUGUCUGGAAUCCCGAAGAGAUUUGGGAGUGCCGCAAGGAACCAGAACACAGGUGCUGCAUGGCUGUCGUCAGCUCGUGUCGUGAGAUGUUGGGUUAAGUCCCGCAACGAGCGCAACCCUUGUCCUUAGUUGCCAUCAUUAAGUUGGGAACUCUAAGGAGACCGCCGGUGACAAACCGGAGGAAGGUGGGGAUGACGUCAAGUCAUCAUGGCCUUUAUGGCCAGGGCUACACACGUGCUACAAUGGCAGGUACAGAGGGAAGCCAACCGGCGACGGGGAGCUAAUCCCAGAAAGCCUGUCUUAGUCCGGAUUGCAGUCUGCAACUCGACUGCAUGAAGUUGGAAUCGCUAGUAAUCGCAGAUCAGCAUUGCUGCGGUGAAUACGUUCCCGGGUCUUGUACACACCG